rnacentral:lncRNA from 1 species
CGACUAACGAUUUCUAGAACUUAAAAACUGUCCUGCUAAUCAUUUAUACUUAUUUAAGUUUCUAUACCAAAAUGUACACUUAAUCUGUAUUUUGUGGUUAAUAAGCAUUGUGUUUAUUAAGUUUCAUAACAUUUGGUUCAGGCUUACCAAAGUAAGGGGAGGGAUAUAACUUUGGGACGAACAAGGGUUAAACUUUAUGCUUCCUUUGUUAUGGCAGGAGCAUAAAGAUACUCACAUUUUACGCGUG